AUGGAUCCACCGUCGUCACCGCCGCCGCACGAUCAUGGUCAGCGUGAGCAAGAGCAUCAGGACGGGUGCCCGGCGGCCAGGGAGAAGAGGCCCUGGGGGUGGGCGGCAGCGGCAGCGCGCGCGGUGGCCGGCGAGGCGCGGGCGCAGCGGGGCAUCGCGCUGCCGCUCAUCGGCAUGAACCUCACGUGGUUCGCCAAGCAGGCCGUCACCACCGCCUUCCUCGGCCGCCUCGGCGAUCUCGAGCUGGCCGCCGGCACGCUGGGGUUCAGCUUCGCCAACGCCACGGGCUUCGCCGUCCUCACGGGCCUCUGCGGCGCCAUGGACCCCAUCUGCGGCCAGGCGCACGGGGCCGGCAACGCCGCGCUGCUCCGCCGCACGCUGCUCAUGGCCACCGCCAUGUUGCUCGCCGCCUCCCUGCCCAUCGCGCUCCUCUGGCUCCGCGUCGACACCGUGCUCCUCCGCGUCUUCGGCCAGCAGCCUGACAUCGCGGUGGUCGCGAGGCGGUACGUGCUGUGCCUCCUCCCCGACCUCGCCGUCACCUCCUUCCUCGCCCCGCUCAAGUCGUACCUCAGCUCCCAGGAGGUGACGCUCCCCACGCUCUUCGCCUCCGCCGUGGGCCUCGCCGUCCACGUCCCGCUCACCGCGUGGCUGGCGCGGACCAGGGGCGUCGAGGGCGUCGCCGCCGCCGUCUGGCUCAGCGACCUCGCCGUCGCGCUCCUGCUCUCCGCCUACGUGCUCGCGUCCGACGUGCUCCUCGCGCGGAAGAGCGCCAAGACGGCGUCUGUAGCGGCGCCGUGCGCGCGGUGGUGGUGGCCGGAGGAGACGAAGACGGCGGCGGCCGACUGGCUACGGCUGAUCCGUCUCGCCGUGCCGUGCUGCCUGAACACGUGCCUCGAGUGGUGGUGCUACGAGAUCCUGAUCCUGCUCACGGGCCGCCUGCCGGACGCCCGGCGCGCGGUGGCGGUGAUCGCGAUCACCCUCAACUUCGACUACCUCCUCUUCGCCGGCAUGCUCUCCCUCUCCGUGAGCGCGUCCGUGCGCGUGUCCAACUCCCUGGGCGCGGGAGACGCCGCGGGGGCGCGCAGGGCCGGCGCCGUCUCGAUCCUCGGUGGCGUGCUCGCCGGCGCCUUGGGUGGCCUGCUGAUGCUGGCGUCGCGGCGGCAGUGGCCUCGCCUCUACACGCGCGGCGCGGAGGUGCGGGACGGCGUGGGGAAGGCGAUGAAGGUGAUGGCAGCGCUGGAGGUGGUGAACUUCCCGCUGAACGUGUGCGGCGGCAUCGUGCGCGGCACGGCGAGGCCGGCCGUGGGCAUGUACGCCGUGCUGGGCGGGUUCUACCUGGUGGCGCUGCCGGUGGGCGUGGCGCUGGGGUUCAGGGCCCGGCUGGGGAUCGAGGGGCUCCUGGCCGGGUUCAUCGUCGGCGCCGCGGCCAGCCUGACGGUGCUGCUCGUGGUGAUCGCGCGCAUGGACUGGGGCGCCGAGGCUGACAAGGCGCGGCUGCGGGCCGGCGCCGGCGCCGACGACGAGCCGAAUGCUCACCACAAGGAGGCACCCCAAAAUGCUGCUGACGUUUGA
rnacentral:rRNA from 1 species